GACGAACGCUGCGGCGUGCUUAACACAUGCAAGUCGAGCGGAAAGGCCCUUCGGGGUACUCGAGCGGCGAACGGGUGAGUAACACGUGAGUAACCUGCCCUUGGCUCUGGGAUAAGCCCGGGAAACUGGGUCUAAUACCGGAUAUGACCAUCAGAUGCAUGUCUUGGUGGUGGAAAGAUUUUUCGGCUGGGGAUGGGCUCGCGGUCUAUCAGCUUGUUGGUGGGGUGAUGGCCUACCAAGGCGACGACGGGUAGCCGGCCUGAGAGGGUGACCGGCCACACUGGGACUGAGACACGGCCCAGACUCCUACGGGAGGCAGCAGUGGGGAAUAUUGCGCAAUGGGCGGAAGCCUGACGCAGCGACGCCGCGUGGGGA
rnacentral:rRNA from 1 species